rnacentral:rRNA from 1 species
AUUGAACGCUGGCGGCAUGCCUUACACAUGCAAGUCGAACGGUAACGGGCCUUCGGGUGCCGACGAGUGGCGAACGGGUGAGUAAUACAUCGGAACGUGCCCGAUCGUGGGGGAUAACGAGGCGAAAGCUUUGCUAAUACCGCAUACGAUCUACGGAUGAAAGCAGGGGACCGCAAGGCCUUGCGCGGACGGAGCGGCCGAUGGCAGAUUAGGUAGUUGGUGGGAUAAAAGCUUACCAAGCCGACGAUCUGUAGCUGGUCUGAGAGGAUGAUCAGCCACACGGGGACUGAGACACGCCCCAGACCCCUAGGGGAGGCAGCAGUGGGGAAUUUUGGAAAAUGGGCGCAAGCCUGUCCCACCCAUGCCGCGUUGAGGAUGAAGGCCUUCGGGUUGUAAACUGCUUUUGUACGGAACGAAAAGCCUUCUUUUAAAACAGGGGGGUCAUGACGGUACCGUAAGAAUAAGCCCCGGCUAACUACGU